GAUUGCCAUUUUUUUUAUGCCUUCCUCCCAUUUCGACUUCCUUUGCGCUUUGACGGAACACCACGUUGGCAUGAACAAAAAACAUGAUUCCCACCUCCUCACGAAAUGAAGAGCCACCGUGCAAUAAGGAAUGGGGAUAUCAGAUUUCACAGUCGGUUUUUAAAAAACCAAAUAGCUAAUGGAUUAUUUAAGGUACGAGAGUGUCAGCAAUCUUAAGGUAAUAACUGCUAUUGUAUAAUAGGACUCUGGACUACAAAUUUUACCUGAGCUGAGUAAUGUUUUAUCUGUCCGUUGAAAAAUAGCAAACGAUCCUUCUCAUGUCCAUCCACAUUGGUAUAGGUCUAAAAUGGAAGUGGUUGUUACAUGGCAACCAGCUUUGGAUUGCCUAGGUACAAAUCAUAUUGAGUUAACAUAAAUCACUUUAAUUAAUCGUUACAGAAGCUCACCCAAAUUACAGCCAACAUCAAACAAGUUAGAUUGAAACAAAGCAAGUAAGUUUCAAGAAUGAGAUAAGGGAAAAGAAUUCUAUCUGGAAAGAGUUGCAGGUCGACACAAACUCAGCGCAACAAGGUCGCUAAGUUUGCCAUGAUUUUCGAUGUCCGUCUGCCGACUGUUUUUCAACCGUAAAGGGUGGCCUACAAGCCUGGUGACCGCUAUUGCCAAGAAAGCCAAAAGAACUAAAAACAGAUGCUUUGGUAGUUGAAUCGAAACAAAGAAUCAUUUAGAUAUUGUUGUUCCACUCUUUGAAUUGAAGAAGAAAAAAAACUGGCUUUCCUUACUGGAGCUGUGAUAGUGUUAAGCUCAAGAAGUUGACUGAUAAACAAACUAGAGUACUGGGAAGAAUUUAUACUCGACGGAAAAGGUUACACCCCUCUUCAGUAGAAACAGAAAGACAUUCAAAGUUUCUCCGUUGCGCUGGCUUUCCCGUGUGAGAUGGUGCGCGGUUGCGGGCUUGCUAUAAGCUAUUGAUUCUUCGACCGCUUCAGCUUUCCUCACGUGGAGAACUUUAAAUUUUUCUUACAUUUUUCAUGUUGAUCGGUCAACAUGUUGGCGAAAACAAACCGCAAAAAGGCGUUCAAAGAUUCACGAUAGUAAACCAGGAUUUGCUAGCGAGUCCAAGUAGAGUACGUAUUCGGCAUGCCUCCAGGCAUACAACCACUGAUGAGAAAGUAGAAUUAUCCGCGCCAGCCAACGUGCAUAGCUUUCUAUGGUUUUGUUUUUCGGUUCAUAUAUGCAAGGCUCCAUGUGAUCCACGAAAUAAUUGCACUUUGUUGCUUGUAUGCCUUAAAGGAUAAAAACGGAUGAGUUACUGAGUAGAAGCUGAUUUGAGCAUACCAUGUGACUUACCUGAGGAUAGCGUCGGCCGUCUUGGUUCCUCGGCUUCGAAGAUCGUCGUUUUGAUUAAGCUAGAAUUCCUUAUCAGUAGCUGUAGGAGAUCUUUGCUAAUUUACUGUGAAGCAGAUUACAAAAAUCGGAAUGACGAAUUCGCUUGAUGAAGGUAAGUUUAUUUGUUUAGAAAUAUUUGAUUCGUUGUGUACUUUAUGGGGUGUUUAUUCACCGACGUUACCUUGAAACACAUGCAUGUCUGAGGGACCUAGUAGUGCCGAGGUCUUCGUAAAGCUUUAAAAAUGGGCGUAGAGUUGGGUGAUGUCUUUUAGAUGGCGAAUUUUAACUCAAUCGUAUUGGUUUUUAUUCUCCUAUUUCUUUGAUAUUAUUGUUAGAUCAUGUAGAAAUAGGUUGCAAAACAGAAGUUAAGCUUAAAUGAUUAUCGGAGAUGUAAUCUUGUCAUGUAAAAUUAACAUAGUAAUAUUUUUCUUUGCCUCGUUUAAAAGCACGAAAGUAAACAACAGAGAUUAUUCUACAUUGGUUGCAUUAUAUAGCCACGUUUCUGCGUUAUCAUUGUAUUUUUUUUUUAUCAUUUCCUUUCUUUGUUGUGUAUGUAUCGCUUUCCCGAACAAUCUUAUCCUAUCCUUGUCCAUUCUUAC